GGUGAUCCUACUACAACACCUAUCACCCAUCGAUAACCAGGAUUGAUUAGUCUGAUCUAGUUAGCUAGGCAGAUGUCCCCUUCCUCAUCGUCCACGUGCAUCUUCCCUGAAGCUGCAUACCCUUCAUAAGAAGACUCCCGUAUUCGAUAGAGGACAGCUUCCUUGGUCAAGGGUAGAGAGUGGCUGCAGUCUCCUGCUAGAACCUCCAAACAAGCUCUCAAAGUAAGGAACAAUACUCUUAAAAGAGCAAGAAAUCCUACAAACUGACUGCAGU
rnacentral:snRNA from 1 species